CCAUUGUGGGCAGAAGGAUCCUCCUCGGAUCGUCACCGCUCACUGAGGAUGACCUGGAGUACUCGGCUGAACCUGUACCAGAUCAUGGAGGAACACAUCCAACUUCCAGCCAUUGCCCUUGUCCUGUCAUCAGGCAUCACCAAGAAAAGCCUGGCUCCAUCCUCCUGGCGCUCGUUUAUCCUUCUGUGUUCCUCUGCAUUGUUCAGAAAGACACAAUGUAGUGCGAGGAUUUGGAUGCCAACAUGGUGAACAAGCAAUUGAAAAGAUGGUCAAAACACUCAGGUUUACACUGUCUGUUCUCAAAUGCAAACUUUAGCCUCGGAGAAUUAAUCAUCCCAGGAUCGUGAUACACUCCACAGAGAGAGAGAGAAAGAGAGAAAAGCUCCAGGGGUUGAUUCAAGCAUAGUGAAUUGUGCUCUGGAAAUGUCUGACUAGUUACCAUUUGUGAAUAGUCCUUAAGUACCUUUCUAAGUUUAGCCCGUAAUUUCUUUCAUUCACCUAUGUAAAACAGAUCUAAUUGUAUUUCUCUCCCUCAGAGGAAUAUUGCAAAGACAUCCUCUUCAUGCCCAGAAGUCAGGUCCUUGAAGGGAGUUUCUAUAUAUCAACAGAUAAAUACAAUAUCUAGGUUCAUCCAAACAUCAUUUCUGGGUUUGUAGAAAUAAAAAUGCACAGUGAUGCUAAAAAGUACUAUCUGGAUCACUGAAAAAAAGAAAAGAAACCACAAAAUAGCAUGAGAGCUCAGUAUAUGAAAUGUCUAGCUUUGCAUUCGACCAAACAGGUAGCUACUGACUCCAUGCAGGAAAUAUUCCUACCUUUUUCAGUAAAUAUUUGUUCCUUGAAAAACUGCUACGAAAUUCUUACCAUGCCAGAUGCUUUCUUUCUCAAUUAAACAAUUAAAAAUUCUGUGGUUAAAAGGCAGAGGAUGAGAUCAUUAUCCACCUAAAAAGCUUUUUAAUGAUGGUUAUCCAUUAACAUGAAGAAGACGCUAAAAAAACAGGUUACAACUUGUCACUUUAUUUAUGGUGUAUGCAAGAUUUAUCCUGUGUACAUAGAAGUGAUGACAAAUACCUCUAGCCUUUCAGAAUUGUGAACUCUUUGCACACAUUUUCUUUGAGUCCUAUUAGUACUAAUAGGUGUUGCAGGCUUGUGCAUUGAGAGGGUAGUCUGUGCCCUAGGGAGAUUUUAAACAUCAGAACAAACUCUUCUGCUUUAAAAAGAACAGCUACAAUCCUUGUUGAAAGCAUAGAACAGGGUACAGAUAUAGCUGACAGAUGAACCACUAGCCAAGAAAUCAAAAAGUACUGCAUUUCUAGUGAUGUUCUCUGUUUAUUAUUCCAUUUUGGAAAAGUCAGAGAAGAAGGUAA